CUUGAAGACAAGAGAAUGAGGGCGGUAAGAGAAGAAAAUAAGUGCAACAUGCCAGAAAUCCAGUAAAGCAGUUCAAGUAUCAGAAGAGCGUGAAUCAAAACCAAGUGCAAGAAGAGGCACCUUGACAUUGAACUGAAGGCCACCAGUCUCCUGCCAGUGCUUCCAAUCGCUGAACUGAACUGGGAACAAAUCAACAAGGGAAACCAAGAGAUGCAUUCCUUGAAGUUCAGCCUCCAGGCCUCAAGUAAGGCAGAGGAAGAGAAUACAUAGAUCUGUGGAGAAGAGUGGUGAUGGUGGGAGCUGCCAAUAAAGAACUAUCAAAAAAGGAUGAUGCAACAGAAAAGCCGUCACCAGAUACCAGCACCUUAAUGUUGGACUUCUCAGCCUCCAGAACUGUAAGAAAUAAAUCCCUGUUCUUUAUAAAUUACCCAGUCUCAGGUAUCCUGCUAUAGCAGCACAAAAUGGACUAUGAUAGAAAAUUGGUAUGAAGGAGUAGUACCAUUGUUAUAACAAAUACCUAAAAAUGGAAGCCACUCUGGAACUGGGUAAGGGGUAGAGUAUGGAAGAAUUUAGAGGAGCAGGCUAGAAAAAGCCUAAAUUGCUGUGUAUUACUCCAGGAUGGUAAGAAAUAAAUCUCUGUUCUUUAUAAAUUGCCCAGACUCACAGCACAAAACAAAUUAAGACAUUAAGAUUUGCCCCAUUCUUAGAAUUCAUUUCUUCCAUUUUCCCUUUAAUUAAAUCAAUGCCAGCAUCUAAGCAGUGUGCACCUUUUGACCAUAGUCUUUCUAAUUGACCAGAAGCUUAGAUGUGGAAAAUGCAAAAACUAUGCACAUUUCUGAUGGGUUUAACUUCUGAGAAAUUUUUACAAGGUUUUCCUUAUUUUAUCUGCUCCAGUAAACCUGUGGUUUCAUGAACAGGCCUAGAAUUUGAGAUUCAGCUUCUAAACUUCAAAGGUGACCUUUCAACCCAUUUGUUUAUAGACUCGGUAUUAACCUUUUGAGUUCUAGAAUAGGGUUUUAGAACUUACUUUCAUAAAAGUUUAUAUAGUCAAUUCCAUUCAUUUAUGCUAAGGACAUAGAAUAUUUCUAGAUUGCACAAUAUGUUUCUGUGGGAAUUGAAUGGAAAUCCAGGUUUCCUGACAAGAAACAAAGGAUCUUUGGGAGGCCGAGACAGGCGGAUCACGAGGUCAGGAGAUCGAGACCAUCCUGGCUAACACGGUGAAACCCCGUCUCUACUAAAAAUACAAAACUUAGCCGGGCAUGGUGGCGUGCGCCUGUAGUCCCAGCUACACGGGAGGCUGAGGCAGGAGAAUGGUGUGAACCCGGGAGGCGGAGCUUGCAGUGAGUCGAGAUCACGCCACUGCACUCCAGCCUGGGUGACAGAGCGAGACUCCG
rnacentral:lncRNA from 1 species